AUUGGACAAUGGGGGCAACCCUGAUCCCUCCAUGCCGCGUGUGUGAAGAAGGUCUUCGGAUUGUAAAUCACUUUACGUUGGGAGGAAGGGCUUUAGGUUAAUACCCUGAAGUUUUGACGUUACCAACAGAAUAAGCACCGGCUAACUCUUUGCCAGCAGCCGCGGUAAUACAGAGUGUGCAAGCGUUAAUCGGAAUUACUGGGUGUAUAGCGCGCGGAGGUGGUUCAGUAAGAUGGGUGUGAAAUCCCCGGGCUUAACCUGGGAACUGCUUUCAUAACUGCGGAGCUAGAGUACGGUAGAGGGUAGUGGAAUUUCCUGUGUAGCGGUGAAAUGCGUAGAUAUAGGAAGGAACACCAGUGGCGAAGGCGACUACCUGGACUGAUACUGACACUGAGGUGCGAAAGCGUGGGGAGCAAAC
rnacentral:rRNA from 1 species